AACGAACGCUGGCGGCAUGCCUAACACAUGCAAGUCGAACGAAGCCUUCGGGCUUAGUGGCGCACGGGUGCGUAACGCGUGGGAACCUACCAUCAGGUUCGGAAUAACAGUUAGAAAUGACUGCUAAUACCGGAUAAUGUCUUCGGACCAAAGAUUUAUCGCCUUUUGAUGGGCCCGCGUAAGAUUAGGUAGUUGGUGGGGUAAAGGCCUACCAAGCCGACGAUCUUUAGCUGGUCUGAGAGGAUGAUCAGCCACACUGGGACUGAGACACGGCCCAGACUCCUACGGGAGGCAGCAGUGGGGAAUAUUGGACAAUGGGCGAAAGCCUGAUCCAGCAAUGCCGCGUGAGUGAUGAAGGCCUUAGGGUUGUAAAGCUCUUUUACUGGGGAUGAUAAUGACAGUACCCAGAGAAUAAGCUCCGGCUAACUCCGUG
rnacentral:rRNA from 1 species